UUAGUUUCAUGGGAAAAAAUAUGCCUUCCAAAGAGGAAAGGGGGACUGAAUGUUAAAGACAGUAGCAACUGGAAUAUAGCAUCAGUGGGCCAAUUGUUGUGGCAAAUUGUAGUGAACAAGGAGUCAUUAUGGUUGAAAUGGAUUCAUGGAAAUGUAUAUAAAAACUGAUGCAUCUAUUUGGACUCAUAAAGUACAUAUAGAUUGCAGUUGGUACUGGAAGAAACUCAAUGGCAUCAAAAUACUUAUGCAGGGCUGGUAUAAUCAGGGUAGAUAUAUGUUAACACAGUCUGGUAAUUACUCUAUUACUAGAAGUUAUUUAGCAUUAAUGGGUUACAGGCCAAAAAUGAGGACUGCUGAGCUAAUUUGGACUUCCAUGGCCUUGCCUAAGCAUAGGUUCAUGGUAUGGCUGGCUGUCCAAGGAAGACUACUUACACAAGAAAGAAAUGUGAGAAUGAACAUCCCAGUUGAAGAUGUAGCAUGUUGCGUGUGUGAUGAGCAAGUUAUGGAGACUACUGUGCACUUAUUUGAGAAGUGCAAAUGGACAUUAGUAGUGUGGCAUGAGAUCAACCAAUGGACAAGGACAAAAAUACAAAUCAAUGGGAUUACUAGAAUGUUGGACAAAAUCAAAGUGAAGCACUGGGUACAAUUCAAGAAGGAAAUCAUGGCAGCCAUUUGUGGAGCAGUACUAUAUCAUACCUGGAGAGCUAGGAAUUGGAAGAAGUUCAAAGGGAGAAAUGUUCAUACAGAGGAGGUCGUUUUACAGAUAAAAAAGGAAGUUAUAGGAAGAUUAUCUUUACUUAAUAAGUCUAAGAAAGCACACAAGUGUAGAAAUUUUAUUCAGCAUUUACUUUGUAAUUAGUUUUUGCUUGGUUGGAGGCCUAUUUCUGUUAUCAGAAUCGGUGCUCUUUAAGUUGUAAUUGUUCUUGGUGGUAUGGUAAUCUUUUACAAUUGUUACCAAAAAAAAUAAAAAUAAAAUGUUAAUUAGUAAUCGAGCAUUCCCUUGCUUGAUAGGCUUAGUGGUCAUAGUUGGACCUUUCUUCUCACUGGUAGUAUUAGCUCUAUUCUAGUAGUUUCUUGUUCUCCCAUUUGGGCUAUUAUAGGUGCUUUUUGUGUUUCGGUUAUUGUUACUGUUUUUCUCGAAGUUUUGACCAAAAUAAGCUAUUUUAAAAAUCAAUUCACCAAACUAAUACGCUUUUUAAUUUUUUUACAAAAGUAGUAUAAACGUACUUCAUGGUAACGUUUUAGGUUAUUUUUAUUUUAAAAAUUCAACGGACAAAAACUGAUGGAGCUGACGACGUUAAAUGAAUAAAUGUUACUGUGAGUAACGUUUUAGGUGUAAAACGUUACUCACAAUAACGUUUAUUGAGAAUCCAAUCACGUCAACCCUGCAAAUGCAGAAUCAAAUCCUUCAAAUUUAAAACGUUACUCCUAGUAACGUUUUACACCUAAAACGUUACUGUGAGUAACGUUUUAAACCUAAAACGUUACUAUGAGUAACAUUAAAUUUUUGCAGGAUUUGAUUCUGCAUUUGCAUGGUUGACGUGAUUGGAUUCUCAAUAAACGCUAUUGUGAGUAACAUUUUACACCUAAAACGUUACUCAUAGUAACGUUUAUUCAUUUAACGUCGUCAGUCUCCGUCUAAUUUUUGUCCGUUAGAAAUUUUUAAAAAUAAAAAUAACCUAAAACGUUACCAUGAAGUACGUUUAUACUACUUUUGUAAAAAAA
rnacentral:lncRNA from 1 species